AGAGAGAGACAUGCGCGCAUAUCAAUAAGCGGAGGAAAAGAAACUAACUAAGGAUUCCCCUCAGUAACGGCGAGUGAAGCGGGAAGAGCUCAAAUUUGAAAUCUUCAAGGGUUCUACCUUUACGAAUUGUAGUUUAAAGAAGUGUUUUCUGUUGAGGUUUUGGUAAAAGUUCUUUGGAAUAGGACAUCAUAGAGGGUGAGAAUCCCGUAUUUGACCAUUAUUUCCAGCUUUGUGAUACACUUUCAAAGAGUCGGAUUGUUUGGGAAUGCAGUCCAAAAUGGGUGGUAAAUUUCAUCUGAAGCUAAAUAUUGGCGAGAGACCGAUAGCGAACAAGUACCGUGAGGGAAAGAUGAAAAGAACUUUGAAAAGAGAGUUAAACAGUACGUGAAAUUGUCAAAAGGGAAGCGUUUGACACCAGUGUUGCUUUCUCGAGAAUCAAUUAAAAAAGGCAGGAUUUUGUGUUGUAUUGACUUUAUCAGCUAUUCUGCACUCUUUUCUUGUCUUUUUUAAUGCACUUUUCGUUUAACAAGUCAACAUCAAUUUCUUUUGUUGUAAAAGGGUCAUUGGAAGGUGGCUUUCUUUUCGGAGAAAGUGUUUAUAGCCUUUGGCCUCUGCAAUCGGAGAGAUUGAGGUCUGCAGCGUAGAUCCUUCGGGGUUAGAUACAUUUGUGCUAAGUUAUAGCCUUUCAUAGACAACUUGUUGACUAUGAUCAGUCAUGUAGCUUACUCGCUUAUGCUAUUUUACCUACGCUUAGGAUGUUGAUGUGAUACUGCGAGCA
rnacentral:rRNA from 1 species